rnacentral:rRNA from 1 species
CCUACGGGUGGCAGCAGUAGGGAAUCUUCCACAAUGGGCGAAAGCCUGAUGGAGCAACGCCGCGUGGGUGAAGAAGGUCUUCGGAUUGUAAAACUCUGUUGUUAGAGAAGAAAGUGCGUGAGAGUAACUGUUCACGUUUCGACGGUAUCUAACCAGAAAGCCACGGCUAAAUACGUCCCAGCAGCAGCGGUAAUACGUAGGUGGCAAGCGUUAUCCGGAUUUAUUGGGCGUAAAGGGAACGCAGGCGGUCUUUUAAGUCUGAUGUGAAAGCCUUCGGCUUAACCGGGGUAGUGCGGUGGAAACUGGGAGGCUUGAGUGCAGAGGAGGAAAGUGGAACUCGAGGUGUAGCGGUGAAAUGCGUAGAUAUAUGGAAGAACACCGGUGGCGAAGGCGGCUCUCUGGACUGUAACUGACGCUGAGGUUCGAAAGCGUGGGUAGCGAACAGGAUUAGAUACCCGAGUAGUC